UACGGAGGGUGCAAGCGUUGUCCGGAAUCACUGGGCGUAAAGGGCGCGUAGGCGGCCUGGUAAGUAGGGGGUGAAAUCCUGCGGCUUAACCGCAGGGCUGCCUUCUAAACUGUCAGGCUUGAGCACGGUAGAGGCAGAUGGAAUUCCCGGUGUAGCGGUGGAAUGCGUAGAGAUCGGGAAGAACAUCAGUGGCGAAGGCGGUCUGCUGGGCCGUUGCUGACGCUGAGGCGCGACAGCGUGGGGAGCAAACGAGG
rnacentral:rRNA from 1 species